CUUGAGGGAGCCGAACCGCAGCGGGUUGCCGGGGGCCCGGUCCUGCCCGUACACGGCCUGCAGGGCGUGUGCCUC
rnacentral:antisense_RNA from 1 species